rnacentral:tRNA from 8 species
GCGAGAGUGGCGGAAUUGGCAGACGCGCUAGACUUAGGAUCUAGUACCCAAAAGGUGUGGGGGUUCGAGUCCCCCCUCUCGCACUA